CCGCCGCGCGCGGCGGGCCUACGGGAGGCAGCAGUGGGGAAUAUUGCACAAUGGGCGCAAGCCUGAUGCAGCCAUGCCGCGUGUAUGAAGAAGGCCUUCGGGUUGUAAAGUACUUUCAGCGGGGAGGAAGGUGUUGAGGUUAAUAACCUCAGCAAUUGACGUUACCCGCAGAAGAAGCACCGGCUAACUCCGUGCCAGCAGCCGCGGUAAUA
rnacentral:rRNA from 1 species